UACAGAGGUCUCAAGCGUUGUUCGGAUUCAUUGGGCGUAAAGGGUGCGUAGGCGGCGCGGUAAGUCGGGUGUGAAAUCUUGGAGCUUAACUCCGAAACUGCAUUCGAUACUGCCGUGCUUGGGGACUGGAGAGGAGACUGGAAUUUACGGUGUAGCGGUGAAAUGCGUAGAUAUCGUAAGGAAGACCAGUGGCGAAGGCGGGUCUCUGGACAGUUCCUGACGUGAGGCACGAAGGCCAGGGGAGCAAACGGG
rnacentral:rRNA from 1 species